UCGUCAUCGUCAUGGCGUAGGCAUCUGAGCUGGUUGGGCACGUUUCCUUCGCCCCUGUGGUUGGGCAUCUCUGCGAUGUAUGCAGGGGCAGGGCACAACAUGUCCCAACCCGGGACGAAGUCUUGACGAUGUCGCCCACAAAUUAGUCACACCAUUUCAGGCCUUUGAAAAAUGUACGCAACCACUUUCACUCAAGAAUUUAGAAGAUGCACCAUCGACGUAUAUUUAUUUGAAAGCACCGUUUGGG
rnacentral:lncRNA from 1 species